rnacentral:rRNA from 1 species
UUGCCUGGCGGCCUUAGCGCGGUGGUCCCACCUGACCCCAUGCCGAACUCAGAAGUGAAACGCCGUAGCGCCGAUGGUAGUGUGGGGUCUCCCCAUGCGAGAGUAGGGAACUGCCAGG